GUAGAGAUGGUUCAGCAGUUAAGAGCACUGGCUUCAAUUUCAGAGAACCUGGGUUCAAUUCCCAGUAUGCACA
rnacentral:tRNA from 1 species